UAUGCAGCAGCAGUCGGCGCAGUACUGAUACAACGAGGCAAUAGAUAGUCUACAGGACAUAAAGGUGUUAGAGGAAACGUCUACGCGCCUGGUGAAUAUUGCAUGGUGCAGAAGGAAAGGUCAACAUAAUCAGUAUUACGGCUUAGGGAGUACUGUGUAGUAGAGGACCAAUACACGUCGCCUGACAAGAUCAAGUAGAAUUACAGACUGAUACAUCGUACAGUAAAAGAAUAAUCAUAGCAGACACAACGUUCAACGCGAUACCUUCUUAUUGGAUAUCGCUUAGAUAUUGUGUAAAAUUUUCUGUCUGACAUUGAUCAAUCACUAAUUGGUGUUGUUUUACUGUGGCUGACUUUGUUUCGAAAUGUCAUCAUUCAACCGUGCGAUGCCUCCACUAUAAUUGUUCGCAAUUACAGGCUCCGUCAUGGGCUGAAGUUUUUACACAAGGAUGGGCAGUCGCCUUGCGGAGUGGCUUCUGUUAUUAACAUCGUUGUCGCUGGUUCACUUUUUGUUCAGUUCGGUUGUUGCGUUAUCGGACAUCAGCGAUGACGAUUUUUGCGUUAAUAUUUCGUGUGCAUGUUCCAAUAAAGUUGUUGAAUGCACAUCAACGGUCAAGGCGCAGAGGGCGCUAGACACAAUACGAAGAUUUCGAAAUGGAAUGUUGCGGAAGUUCUCGUGCACUAAAUGUCAAUUAGAAGGCACCAUGCGACUGGACAUCAAUGCAGUAGACGUGAAUAUCUCGAGGAAUCUAAUUGAAGACAUAUUAGCAGGGUCGGAGCACAUAUUCAAUCUUGAUGUCGCCCACAACUUGCUAAGUUCCUUUAGAUUUACUGAGUAUUUCCCUCAUCUACGGCGGCUAUAUAUUGCUGGGAACCGUUUGACUGAGUUAUCGUCGCUUAGACUUAGUUCUCUCGGGGUCCUUGACGUAAGCAAUAAUCAAAUCAGUAAAGUAGACGAUGAUACUUUUGUCUAUUUAACAAAGCUGACCGUGCUGAAUUUGAAUGGUAAUCUGUUGCAACACUUGCGCCAUGGUUGGUUCACUCCGCUCCGGAAUCUUCAACUACUUCAGAUUGCACGUAACCGUCUAAUGGAGCUUAAUAAUCUUGUUUUCAUGCCUCUUUCCGAAUUACGCUAUGUUGAUCUCUCGUUCAAUCGGCUUGCCCAUGUCGGUUUACUGAGCUUUCAAGCAAUAAGCUCUCUUGAACAGCUGAAUUUGUCACACAAUAAUCUUACAUACCUUCCGAAAGGUUUUUGCAAAUGGUUUCAUUCCCUGCAACUUCUAGACAUAUCUGGCAACCCUCUUACUUCAUUAGCCAAUUUUCAGUCAUUGCCAUCCACGGCGAAUUUUUCUCUGAAGGCUCGAGAUCUAUUGUAUUUGAAAACAAUUCAUGCCAAUGACACGUUGGGUUUAGAAGGAAUGGUUUCACUCGAUUUGGCGGGAAGCGCACUCGAAUCCAUUGAAUUACCUUCAUUCGAAGGUCUAGCUCGCUUACGAAACCUCAAUUUGAGUCAUUGUAAAUUGAGCUCUUUGCCUCGUGGAUUAUUUUUGCCUCUCGUCAAUCUAGAAAGAAUUAGCCUACAGGGAAAUUUCUGGCACUGCGAUUGUGGUCUAAAAUGGCUACUUUACUUUUUACUCCAUCGGCAGCAGCUUCAGGUGGAGCUUCCAGGCUUAACCUUAUGCUCGAGCGAAACCUCGGAUGGCAGUCGCUCUAGGUUACUCCAUGAGGAGCGACUCCUUGACUUCCUAGACCGAAAAGUACAUUGCCAAAAUGCAACCAUAGUAAACUAUACCAGAAAAGCCCACCAUCGGCUUGGUUCAACUGCCGUUUUCUUUUGUCAAGAACAAGGAGUACCUGCUCCUACGCUAAGUUGGCACUCAAAAUCUCUAGGACCCUUAAACACGUGUGGAGCUAGCUGCUUUAGAGAGACACGUAAGUCAGGCGAAAACUGUAGCGGAUGUCAAAUGGCCCGGUGGGCAUGUCAUAGACAGGAAGUGGGUUGUGACAGUGAUGAGUGUCGCCGUUUCGCGCAGGAAUGCCUUCGUCUCGUAGAAUUAGAGGAAGCUGAUGGCACCUGCUGUUCUGCAAUAAACCUGAAAACAGCUGUGGAGACAUGCCUCACUGGCGAUCAGUUUGCAAUUGACACUGGUCCAUGUCUUCGUGAAGUUACUGCUCUCUCCCUAUCAAAUUCAUCUGGACAGAAUAACAGCGGAGCAGUAGAAAAACUUGACGAGUGCGUCACUAAAAAGGUCAACUGUGUUAACGAAUGCGUUGAAGACAGGUGUGAAGAACAGCACGAGCAACAGUGCGUAGAAACUGCCGUUACGUGCGUUUUAGAGGUCCUUUCUUAUGAUACUUCAAGUUUCAAUGUGGAGCAACGAUGUCGGAGCCGUAUAUGCGCACGCGGUCGAAAACUCUAUAUAUCAAAAGUUUCUCGUGGCGAUUCAGGAUACUACAUGUGUCGAGCGACAAAUGUUUUACAAACCCAAGAGGUAAUUAUCCACAUGACGCUUGACUACGACUUCAUGCAAGACGUGAAGAUUUUCUCGAUUUUAACGGGGCUCGGAGUUGCCAUUCUGUUCAUCGUCGCUACUCUUAUUGGUGUGGGGGUGGAGAAAAUUUUACAACAUUUUGGUCUCAAAUGUCCGUGCGAUGCAGACGGGCCAAUCCGGAGACAAAAUAUUGUCAAGAUUCUCGAGCAAAUAGAAGGCUAUCGCAGACAGAAUUUGGAACGACUUCGUGAAAACUACAACUGGCAGGUUGCCAGAAUUAAGGAAAAUUGCAUUCUUCAAAUGGACCGCGUGAAAGAUUCAUAUAUAGCCGAGCAAACAGGAAAGAUCCGUAAUUAUGGGUCAUCACAGAUCGGAGCAAUUAAGGACAACUACCUAGGACAGGUGCAGCGCGUUCGUGACUACGGCAAUGCACAGAUGGAUUGGCUUCGAGAAAAUUAUGUAUUUCAAAGAAAUCGUAUCCACAAGUUUUCCAAGCACCAACUGAUUCGAUUACGCGAAAACUAUAAAUUGCAACAAAAACAUUUGAACAAGAUCCUUGAGACGUUGCCAAAUCUGGAAUCAUGCAGGAAGGGUUUUUACAGUGAGACGGAUUUGAGGGAACUCAACUUUACUGCUAUGCUUGUUCCACCUCCUCCACCCCCUGAGAGUGUACUUGACUUUCCAACUUUCGACGAAUUUUCACUUCCCGACGUACAGACAGGCUUUGAAAGUCGUUCGGGAACACUUCUCAGCCCUGAAGGAAGCCUCGUUUCAAUGCAGAGCGAAAGACGAUCCAGACGAGCCUAUCCUACUAUUGAGCAGGUUAUCCGGGAAAGAUUGUUACCAAUGACAGAAGAAGCAGUGUUACGAGCGACGGGACCGGAGUUGGAUGAAAAACGGCAGUUGAUGAUGAUUCGGGGUCAUCGUCGAAGCUAUUCGGCUCCAAUAACAGCUUUAUCACCACCGAGUCUACCGCCGUUUCCUGGGCACGAUAAGAUGUCGUUUUAGCGAAAACAUUUUAGGUUCUUCCAACGACUCGGAACUCCCGGACUCAAGCCGAACAUUCUUUUCGGGAAUCUUCGCGCGGUAUAUCUUAAAAACAGCCUUUGGGCCAUUAAUGAUUAGCACCGUAAAUUUGGCUCUUAGAAAUGUUGCACUUUUAACACCAACUUACGUGUCCCACGUGUGCUCAGUGACCUUUCAUAACUCUAUAGAUGUUGAAUAUGGAUAAGUGGUGAUCGUUGGAAAGCCAUCGUCGUCAUUCUUAAACGGCUUUUUAACAUCUAAGGACCCUCCGUCUCCAGACGAAGCUUGACCCACUAUAUGGAUACCUUUUGAAGGAAGUUUAGUAGUAUUUGAUGUUUACAUUUUUCAGCAAUUACCACAGCUUUUCUAUUUCUAAAUGUCCUGUGGAAUUAUUCGCAAAUUUGAGUGACAAGUAAAAAAGUAUCGUUAAAUCCGACCUAACUAUAAUAAUGAUUUUUUUUGAAGAAAAGCGAGACAAAGCUAGUCAGCUGCACUGUUUUGGGCGAAUUUGGGAAAAUAGAAAAAUUUUUCAUCUUUGUGACACGCUUUUCCGCUUAGGUACGGUUUUCGAAACAGAACUUUCUGGUGUCCAGGGCAACGGUAUAUUGCCCGUAGGUGAAAUCGUUUUGGCAAUUUGUUUGAAAGCGGGUUAAGAAUUGGCCCAGCUGGAUCGUUAUUAUUUUAUUACAUGUGGUUCUCUGAAGCUUCACAACGAAUAUGUUGAUCGUUUAUUUUUGACCGCAACGCCUUUAAGUCAAAUCAUAAAAUUCUUAAUCUGAAUAUAUACACCCUCCAACUGUUUAAUUUUUUGUUUGUCUCUUACAGUGUUGAGUAUUCCUUUGAGCUCCCUCUUUGUAAAGCCUAGUAAAUGACGGUACACGCAUUUAUUUACUUGUUCUAAGUAGGAUGGUUUUACGAUAAAAAUCCUGUGCUAGUGGUCUCGGAUCCAGCUAUUCUUCAGCAUGACUCGUCGAAGACUUCAAAAAGUGUACCUACAUAUAGCUAUUUCCAGUAAUUCAGUCAUGCCUACAUGAGUUCAUUACCAACGUGAGGCACCUAUGCAGUGAUGCUCAACGGGAAUUCGACAGCUCGGCGUUGCCUAAUACUUUCUCACUCGACGUCAUCUGUAGCUCUGCACUCGGCUUGACGUACCCAUAACCCGUAACAAUCAGUUAUUACACUCUGUCCAGGAUCAAAUGGAGCCUACCCUGAGUCUUACAGGAGUAAUCAGACAUCACAGCAUCUUUGUUUGUACUAUACAACUGCAUCUUUUUUUUUUAUCAUACUUACACGUUCAUUCAAAUAUGAUAAAUUUAUUAGUUGUUACAUCAAAAUAUGUUAUUGUAGUAUGUAUGCAGUAACCGCUUUAGAAUCGCUAAAAAAAUAUUUAACAGAUAGUGCGUCCAUUAUUACUACAAUGGGUUAUGUUAACUACACGAAAAGAGUGAAAAUGUGAAUGAAGUAGAUAUGUGUAUCAUGCGAACUGAUUGAACUCUGCCAACCUGAAUAUACAUCCAACAUUACUACAUUUCUUGACGCACACAUUUCUACACAUUUUACACACGUGACCAUCUAAUUCUAACAAUUUUUGAUUCAACAACAGCUGCUAUAGAAUUAAUGUAUAGCAAAUCCCAACAUAAAAUGGCGGUUGCUGUACGUGCCGUCUCUAGAUAUUUUCAUUUGGCGUUAGGAAAACGUCCAGGUUUAGUUGUACAAUUUUUCCUCCGUAUCAUCGAGUGAACUCUACGAGCGCGUUCGUCUCACGCGACUUAGAUCGCUGUUAAUAACGCCUUAUAAUAUAAUAUAAUAAUAAACGCAAAUAAUAACGCCUUCGUAAGUAGGUAGGCAAUACAGUGUGUCGUUUACUUGCGCGGUGCAAUUAGAUGCUUCAAAUAAUGCGGCUUCAUCGAAUGCUGCCAUAUUCUCUUCUGGAAAUUGUUACCGUGAGGGUACCAUCGGGAUUAUUCUGCUAAAAAAGUAAUACGCAUUAGGCGACGGGUUCGAUACGUGUUUUAUACACUGAUAUAUACCCUUGUAUAUUGAUGAAAAUCCAUACUUUGAAGGCAUAGAUUUUUAUGUUGGUUUUUGUGGGCCAGGUGUCAUGUCUAAAACUAUUGAACUUAUAAGAACAUAACCGGACGUGUGGGCCCGCAAAACAAAGCGCAGCUAUCUGCAAGUAGUUCUCUGAUUAAUAGGGCUUGCUCAUGUAACCUUCUGUAUCGUUCAGUUUCAUUUGCCUUGGCUGUGGCUGACUCUGUGGUCAACUGCAUUUCACAUAUUUCGGACCCAGUGUGACGUAAUCUGUCCUCUUAAAGUGAUGGCUUAUUCAGGAUACGCGAACGCAUCAGUCCGGCAUGGCUUGCCCUUUCGCAGCCCUAACGCGGUUUUCUAAACUUCUUAUUGCUCGGCUUAGAACGCCGGUGACCCUCUCAGCCUCGUCAGCAACAGCCCGUCAGUUUUUAUAGUUGACGGUCUUAUAUCAAAAAGAAGAAAAAAGGGAAUACGACAGUUUUUCGCUCCUCGAAAUAUUCCAUCCUUGUUGCUCUCGCUUUCUGUCUCUGGCCGCUCUAUUUUCGCAUUGAGACCCCCGGUAUAGUUUUACUAACAGGUUUAAAAAAUGAAAGCCUUGCUUCAGUUUGCCAACAAUGCCGAACUCAAUGCAUGCUUUCGCUUUCCUGCUGCCGAUCUCGGACAUGGCGGUGUUCCCGCUGGUGCAACUCCGUAGUAUGUGCAAGUCUUGCGUCCCAUUUAUGGGAAGUCCUUUGGGGUACUAGCCAAUAACAAGAAAGCAACUAAUAUGGAGUUUAGCCUAAAAUGGAGAUGCUAGAAACGUUGAAGGAAUGGGUCACUCCGUGCAGCGCAUCUCGUAGCAAGCUGCGGCUCUUCAUUUCUGGAAAGCCUGGCCUAUCUGCAACCGGCCGAACUACAUCCUCGCCCAAGCCGUUACAUUUUUGGUGUCCAGCAACUAUUCCAGUGGAUCAGAAAUACGUUCUGGUGUGAGGUAGCUAGUUACUGUCUGCGACAAGAUGUUGGCUGCUGAACCAUCAUGAAUCAGAUAAAUCUAUUACAAUAAUCGACCAUCACUAAAACAUAGAAAGUCUUGCUCGCGAGCUUCUUGACGGCUCAUCAAAUCUAGACCCUCAAAAGGACGUUUCAGGAAGGGCACUAGACAAAGGUAUUCGCGUUAAAAUUGAAAAGGCUUGGGAUCGCUCUACCUUACCAGCAACACGGUCAGCCACGACAAGGCAUCUGCGUGAAGUCGCGAGUGCAUUUUUUGCAAUGCCCUUUUUAUUAGACGAUUUCAAUGAAAAUCUCAAUGCAGUGCUGUCGGGCACUACUCUAAGGUAAUGCCCAUGCAAAUACGUCCAGAAUCUUUUUAAACACAAUUGUCAGAUAUUUCUACAAAGCAUAAUAAUAAUGCAUAUAUUCAUUUGUAUAGAACCAUAAUUUGCAAAAUUUUUUAAUAUUUUUUGACUGGUUCCGAUGUGGGAAUCAUCUCAUGCAACCUAAGUCAAAAGCGUCAAAGCUAAUAAUCAAAUACAAUAAAAUAAAUAGUAAAUGUACCGUAGUGCGUAAAACCAUUCCGCGGAAAUCUGUUACCAACAAUAGCUAUGUAUGCAAACAAUGUAAGAGGUCCAAUGAACACAUCAUACCGGUAUUCUCCCAUGCUAUAUUCUAUACAGUGUGCUUCAUAAUGGCUUUUCGUGUGUCACACGCUUUGUUUUCUUUCUGUAAAUAAAAAUGUUUUUAAAAUUAAAACUUCGGUUUCCCAACAGCCUACUUCACUGGCAACCGCUUCCUCUCAGAGAAAAUACUUGCCUGCGCCCUCAUCCAACUUAUACCAACAUCAACCUCACUGCGGCCCGGCUACCCUUGUUUCCUUGUAACCUUGUUUCCAUAUGGUACAAGAAACGACACAGGACCAGCUUAUUCAUUGCCUUAGGCUUAACUAAUUCGGUAUCUUGGAUCUUGGAACUGAUUAUCGGACUCCCAAAGAAGUCGCUACUGAUCAAAGCAUGUAAAGGACUCACAAUCUACACAAAAUUUCGUAUAAACCGUCGUUGAUAAAAAGCGAUUUGUUUUUGCUGAUCAAAGGUCGUUUUUCUCCUAGAGCACUCCGAUUUAGAGCUUCACUCCUGUGCGCUUCUCGAUCAAUAGCUGGAGUAGCUGUAGACAUGGUUAGUUCCAAAAGAUCGCUGGCUUGGGAAAUAAACCAAAAGCCAGUUUUAAAUAAAAAGUGGUUAUGCGGGCAACCUCGUAUGUAAACGAUCUCAACUGCAGGAAGUGGCGAAGUUUCAUUCAGAUAAGGUGGAAGGAUAUCACCAGUGAGAGCCUCCAAAAGGCUAUGUACAAAAGACCCUAGCUUCUCCAUAUUUUCUUCAGCCGCAUUUUCUGUUUUAAUUUAAAACGUGCUUUUACAAUUUAAGUCUGCUUUUUCCCUUAUUCUAGAUGUAAAUCUGUCCCUAUAAAUCUACUUUUCCAUCACCCUGCAUAUAAAACCACGAUGUAAAUUUCUGCAAACUUUGUCACACAUUAAAAUUUCCGUUUCAUAUAAAAUAAUUUUCUCUAUUGUAUACUUUUCAACGAGGAGGUAAUGAAGAAGAUAGUGUCGGUCAAUGGGAUAAAACACGAACCCAGACAAAAUGUAAACGGUAGAAAGAAACGCACAAAAGUUAAGGGAAAAAGUUUGUUAGAUUU